GUCCCACUAGCUUAAUUGGUGGGGUCUGAGACUCUUAAUCUCAGGGUUGUGGGUUCAAGCCCCAUGUUGUGUG
rnacentral:tRNA from 1 species